rnacentral:rRNA from 1 species
GCGUUGUUCGGAUUCAUUGGUCGUAAAGGGUGCGUAGGAGUCGUGGUAAGUCGGGUGUGAAAUUUCGGAGCUUAACUCGGAAACUGCAUUUGAUACUGCCGUGCUCGAGGACUGGAGAGGUGACUGGAAUUUACGGUGUAGCAGUGAAAUGCGUAGAGAUCGUAAGGAAGACCAGUGGCGAAGGCGGGUCUCUGGACAGUUCCUGACACUGAGGCACGAAGGCCAG